rnacentral:ncRNA from 1 species
UCUUUGCUACGUUGGGGUGACAGCCCGACGAGACGCGCCGUACCGGGUCAAGCGAAAGACGACGCACC